CCUCUCCCUGCCGACACCUCCUUAUCCUCUCAACAUCAUAACUGUCUUGCAGGCACAGGUGUGUUUAUCGGCCAACCUGACCCUCACAAAAAGCUACCACUGAAGUGGACAGGCCCCUACACUGUGAUACUCAGCAUACCAACUGCAGUGAGAGUCCAAGGACUCCCCAACUGGAUCCAUCGCACCAGGGUCAAGCUCACCCCCAAGGCGGCUUCUUCCUCCAAAACAUUAACAGCUAAGUGUUCAUCUGGGCCAAUUUCUCCUACCCAGUUUAAAUUAACCAAUAUUUUUUUCUUGAAACCGAAACACAAGGAAGACUAACCACCUGCUUCCAGGAAUGGCCUGUAUCUACCCAACCACUUGCUAUACCUUUCUUCCAACCAAAAGUCUUAAUACAGGAAUAUCUCUCACCACGAUCCUAAUACUGUCAGUAGCUGUCCUGCUGUCCACAGCAGCCCCUCCGAGCUGCCAUGAGUGUUAUCAGUCUUUGCACUACAGAGGGAAGAUGCAACAAUACUUUACUUACUAUACUCAUAUAGAAAGAUCCUGUUAUGGAACCUUAAUCGAGGAAUGUGUUGAAUCAGGAAAGAGUUAUUAUAAAGUAAAGAAUCUAGGAGUAUGUGGCAGUCGUAAUGGGGCUAUUUGCCCCAGAGGGAAGCAGUGGCUUUGCUUUACCAAAAUUGGACAAUGGGGAGUAAACAGUCAGGUGCUUGAGGACAUAAAAAGAGAACAGAUGAUAGCCAAAGCCUCAAAACCAACAACUCCCCCUGAAAAUCACCCACGGCAUUUCCAUUCGUUUAUACAAAAACUAUAAGCAGAUGCAUCCCUUCCCAAGCCAGGAAAAAACCUGUUUGUAGAUCUAGGAGAAGCAUUGUGCUUACCAUGAAUGUGUCCAAUUGCUGGGUAUGCGGGGGAGCUUUAUGAGUGAACAGUGGCCGUGGGACAGGAUAGACAUUCCCCCUUACUUACUGGCAUCCCAAAACCCCAGCCUCACUUUCACUCCUCAGGAACACCCACAGUCCUGGACACUUACCAACCCAGUACGAGGGAUGGCGUGCAUAUCCCGCAAGUGGACUGAUAAAACCCAUCGUGCUGUAGGUGAAAACCCCUGUCACCAAACCCUAACAGUCAAUGCCUCCAUAGCUGAGUGGUGGCCAAGGUUACCCCCUGGAGCCUGGUCUCCUUCUAACUUAAGCUACCUCAAUUGUGCCUUGUCAAAAAAGGCCUGGUACGGUACAAACACCACUAACCCUUCUGCCGCAUACCCCCGCCUAAGUGCACUAUGUGACAAUCCUAGGAACACCAGCCGACGACGGACUGCCCCGAUGGAUUCCUCUGGAUAUGGGGAACCCAGACUUACUCACGGCUACCUUAUCACUGGCAAGGUACUUACUUCCUAGGCACAAUUAAACCUGGAUUCUUUUUACUUCCAAAGCAGGCGGGCAACACCCUCAGAGUCCCUGUGUAUAACCUAGCCAGAGAAAAAUGAUCCUUGGAGGUAGGAGGGAGCCAAAGAUUGUGAGAGGACGAGUGGCCUCCGCAACGGAUCAUUGAAUAUUACGGUCCCGCCACUUGGGCAGAGGAUGGUUCACGGGGGUUAUUGCACUCCCAUAUAUAUGCCAAAUAGAGCGAUUAGACUACAAGCUGUUCUAGAGAUAAUCACUAACCAAACUGCCUCAGCCCUAGAAAUGCUCACGCAACAACAAAACCAAAUGCGCGCGGCAAUUUCUCAAAACAGGCUGGCACUGGACUACUUAUUAGCAGAAGAAGGUGCGGUCUGUGGUAAGUUUAAUAUCUCCAAUUGCUGUCUGUUUAACACACGCAAUAAUGGAAAAGUGGUUCUAGAAAUCGCUUCAAACAUCAGAAAAGUAGCCCGUGUAUCAGUCCAAACCUGGAAGGGAUGGGACCCAACAAACCUUCUAGGAGGGUGUUUCUCUAAUUUGGGAGGAUUUAAAAUGCUCGUGGGGACAGUCAUCUUCAUUACUGGGGUCCUCCUGUUUCUCCCCUGUGUUGUCCCAUUAAAACUCUUGUUGAAACUACAGUUAACCGCCAGACAAUCCAGACGAUGCUCCUGCUACAGCGGCACGAUGGAUAC
rnacentral:lncRNA from 1 species